UAGUAGUUCACAACUAUCUCUGCAGU
rnacentral:piRNA from 1 species